GAGAAAUAUGGUAAUAUAUAGCAAAAAUAAAUAAAAUCCUGUUUUAGUUGAAUCUGAGGAACAAGAUUCAAAAAAUAGGAGGCUACUCAGGCAAACGGACUCUUUAGGAAAUGUUUAACCAAAAUACUUGAUUCUAUUAAUUUGAUGUGCGUAAUUUUCAUUGAGGAAAAUUAAGACCAACAAGCAUUCUGAACUAUUUAUUAUAAGUAGAAGAUUUUUAAAAUCCUUGGUAGGGCAUUUCAUUUCUAGGCUAGCAACAUCAGGCAGUGCAUGAAAACACACCCUGGCUAUGUGGGCCUGCUCUUAGUUCUAAGAUUCUCUCCAGUUUCUUUGCAGUGAAGUAGUCAUUCAUGUGAAGUAAACAAUGUGUUAUUCAUCCUCCUUGGGCAGACUGUCAUAUGUUGACUAUUUUUCCCGUUUGGGCUCCCCCCCCCCCAAAAAAAAAAAAACUUAUUCCAAAUAUAUCAGUUUGAAAAGUUAAGAAAUACACCUCCAAGUCUCUUCCUUCAAGUUUAUAUCUUAAAGUUUUUGAUCUCCCUGCCAUUUUGGAGAUCAAAACCAGAAUUUUAAAAACUGUUUUGCCCUACUGUUGUCCAAAGACAACAACAUUGAGGAAUAUUGUCAUUAAUAUUUUUCUGGAAUAAAUUCCAACCAAUGUCUGAUUUUUCAAAGUAUCAUUUUUUCUGACAGGGACUUAUCUCUCUCUCUCUUUCUCUCUCUCUCUCUCUCUCUCUCUCUCUCACACACACACACACACACACACACACAAACACACACACAAAUAACAAAUAAUUUUUUUAAGAAAUUUAAAAAAAAGGCCACUGUAAAUUCUUGCCAGCUAAAAUAAUAUUUAUAAACAAUCCUUAACUAUAUAUUAUCUUGACAAUUAUCUUGACUAUUUAGUUUUAUUCCUGUGUGUCUGGUUAUUUGGUUGUUACCAUGGGUAAGGUUGAAAUACUUAACAUGAGUCAUUCUUCAAUGAAAAGAUAUCACAUGGACAUCAGAGCUCUUACUUCUAAACCAGCUCUCCAUUAAUCCAUUACUUGCCCCUGUGCUAACUCCACAUUUCAUUGAGCUUCAAGUCAUCUGCUAAAAUAAUUAAAUUACAUGAACUCUAAUGACCCAUUAUGUACUAAAAAUCUAAAUGGUUGUGGUUCAAAGUUAACAAGAAUUUGGUUUGGGUUGAUGUAGCACAAAUUUGUGUAAUUUUCACCACAUCUUUCAUCUUUUUUAUUUGGUACAUUUAUGGAUUAAAGAAAUUAAAUUUAUCAUCUAGUCAUUAAAAUUCACAUUAACAAA
rnacentral:lncRNA from 1 species